GAUCGGCCUGGGCGCGCCUCUCGUCGGCCUCCGGGCCUUCGCCCUGGGGGCACAGCCCGCACGCACCUCGGCCUUCCCUGCGCGCGCUGGGCUGCUCCCCGCUCCCCGCCUUCUUCCGGGCUCCGAGAGCACCGCAGGGAAGAUGCUUCUAGGCGUCUGGGGGGCAAUUGGGAUCUCAAGGUCUCUUGCUAACGUGUCCACUGCGGCUGCUCGCGGGAAAGCAACGGAAGUUGGAGAGACUUUGCAACAGCUGCAAGAGUUUCAGUCCCGGGCUGAAAGCGACCACCGGGGCGAGGCAAAGUCCCGCGGCCGGCGUGCGCCCGACCCACGGGACCCCAAGGCCUCGCUGCUCCCGGGGCGGGCCCCACCUGGCCAAGAGCGCGCGGACGUGGGCUGCAGCCGCCCGCCUCGGCUCACCUUUCGUCAGCGUGUCCAGCACCCCCGACUUCUCCAAGUACCUCCGGAACUGCUCGCGCUUCGAGUCGGCGGCCUGAGGAGACACGGCGGGUCAGGGACCGGAGCCCGGGGCCGGAGCAGGAAGAUGGCGCGCCCCGCCGCCGGCCCCAAGCCCUGCACGCGCCCCAACUCCCACCCGGCGCCGCCCGCACGCCCCGAGCCACGCCGCGCCCCCCUCACUUUGUAAUGGGCCAUAGUGACAGCCA
rnacentral:lncRNA from 1 species